GAUCCUGGCUCAGAAUCAACGCUGGCGGCGUGCCUAACACAUGCAAGUCGAACGUGAAAGCCCCGCAAGGGGUAAGUAGAGUGGCAAACGGGUGAGUAACACGUGGGUGACCUGCCUUCGAGUGGGGGAUAACGUCCCGAAAGGGACGCUAAUACCGCAUGACAUCCUGCCUUUGAACAGGUGGAGAUCAAAGCCGGGGUCGCAAGACCUGGCGCUUGAAGAGGGGCCCGCGCCCGAUUAGCUAGUUGGUGGGGUAACGGCCUACCAAGGCGACGAUCGGUAGCCGGCCUGAGAGGGCGGACGGCCACACUGGGACUGAGACACGGCCCAGACUCCUACGGGAGGCAGCAGUGGGGAAUUGUUCGCAAUGGGCGCAAGCCUGACGACGCAACGCCGCGUGGAGGAUGAAGAUCUUCGGGUCGUAAACUCCUGUCGACCGGGACGAAUGCCGUGCGGGUGAAUAAUCCGUGCGGGUGACGGUACCGGUGGAGGAAGCCCCGGCUAACUCCGUGCCAGCAGCCGCGGUAAUACGGGGGGGGCAAGCGUUGUUCGGAAUUACUGGGCGUAAAGGGCUCGUAGGUGGCCAACUCAGUCGGACGUGAAAUCCCUCGGCUUAACCGGGGAACUGCGUCCGAUACUGGAUGGCUUGAGAUCGGGAGAGGGAUGCGGAAUUCCAGGUGUAGCGGUGAA
rnacentral:rRNA from 1 species